CACUGUUAAACUAGUGGAACUUUUACAGUUAUGUGUGGUUUUAAAAUAACUGCUAAAAAUACAAAUAAAAAUGUUAACAUACCAUCCUCACCAUUUUGUUCCAUGCCCCAUUUGUUAGUACAUGAGUGCGAGAUUAAGAUUUACACCUAAAUUUCUAAUUUGCUAUAAUUAGUCAAAUUCUCUCCAAAGUAAUAAGAAGAGUUAGUACUAAUGCAUUAAGUAUUAUUAAAAAUAUCUGAUAAAAUAUGUGAAAUUUAUUUUUUUAUGUAAAUUUUGUCUUUUAAACUCACUGUUUAAUGUUUGGACCAUUUUAGAACACAUAGACACAUGCAUAUGUACAGAUUCACUCAUAUUGUUUCCUCAUCUGUAUGCCUAAAAAUUAAGUAUAUUAGUUAUGAUUAAAAAUAUUAUUCUAUAGAAACCAUAAGAUAUAUCUCAAAAGUUCUUUUAAAUUAUAUUUCAUGAUGUUACGAUAGUUUUAACAAUUUCACAGCUCUCUAAAACAAAGCACAUAAUAACUACUAUAUAGAAAUGUUGCAUGCUAUAUUUUAAGGGAAAAAUGCUGUAAAUAUAUACUCAUAAGAAAUAUAAAUAUACAGGUCUAUACAUACAUCUAUACAUACAUUUCUAUAUAUAUUGCAUUUUCUGUCAAGUAAGUGCAUGGUUUUACUCAGAUCAAUUUUUAACCCAUUUCUGAAGUAUCUCUUAAGUAGUGAGGCUGUCUCAGUUAUCAGUUCAAUCUUACAACUACAAUUAAAUUUAUUACAAAGACUGUUGUUGCAUAUUCAUAAAAGCAGUACCUGGAUGUCUAAUGGAGAAUCAUUCCAUUAAUGGCAGCCCCAGUAAAUCAUUCAUAAAAGCUAAUUCUGAUUCAGAAUAAUAUUUUUCUCCUGGUAGACUUGUUUAUAAUGAAAAAUCCUUGCAAUCUAUGAAAGAAAAUUCAAUAAAUCAUGUUGUGCUGCCAUAGAACAAACUGAGGAUCCUCCUGCAUGCAAGGUCAUCCUAAUGCUCUUUCCAUUUGGGGGGGUGGGGGUGGGGGGUGGUUUGCAUAUAUAAUGACUUUGUGACAGUGUUUCAAGACAGUCAAUUUUUUCUUCAUUUCUGCCAAGACCCGACUUCUGGGCAUGAGUUUUUUGGCAUUUGCUUAUAUAGACUUAAUAGGUACCUAACAUUGCAUUGCAGAUGUUUUAGUGUCUGAGAUGCCAUACAGAAUUCAGGCAUUCUGGGGAAGAUAGAAAAUCUUCACUUCUGCUAGUGAAAUCAGCAUGUUCACAGUACAAACACUUAUUUGAUUGAAAUGUUUUAUAGAUGAACGAUUUUUUCUUUCCUGUUUUUCUUAGCUGCUGCUGCUGACAUUAUGUAAGUGGUGUUUUAUUAGGCUGUCAUUAUGAGAAGUUUGCAGUUUGAGGAUCUGAGAGUGAAUUAUAAAUAUGAGUCAACAGCCUUAAUACUGUUGGAAAGAGAAGCUUCAGCCAUAUUUGGAAAAUGUGCUUCAAGGAUCUGAAUUUAAAAUCAUCAAGCUUUCUUCCUCUCCUGACUCCAUUAUUGAAGCCCUAGUGGUUCCUACUUGGAACCAAAAAGGAACUGCCUGCUAACUGUAGUGUAGACAUGUGUGAGAAGGUCCCAAGGUGCUAUGUCCUUGUCUAUGUAGAUCCCAGAUGGAGAGUCCAUCCCUCUCAUGCUUAGCCCAUUAAGUUCUUUCUCACUUUGGAGUUCACUGGUAUCCCCAUCAAGUGCCAGGACACAUCAUUGACUGAUUGUUAGUGCUUUCAAAGCACUGUGUCUGCAAAGACAAGGACCAGCUGGUCACUUUCAAGAAGAAGGAGACUCAGAAUGAUAACAAGUCUAGAAAGUAUCUUAAAAGAUACUGGUGGAAUGAACUGGAUUUAUUUAGUCUGGACAAGCCUGAAAGUCUAUGCAAAUGAUUGCUCAAAAAAAAACAAGGGCAAAAAACAACCCUUACUGAAGUGAUGGACUUAAAUUUCACAGAUUUACAUUAGAUCUUAGGAAAAACAACUUUAAGAGCUUAUAAAGCUGUCUAGGCAUCCAAAAUACCUUUCUUUGUGGUAAUAUAUUUGUUAUUUACCUUCCGCUCAUCAAAGAAUUAUUCAGAAAUCAACAGAAGAAAACCUGCACAAACUGAUUAUCUUUGGUGUUUUAAGGGGUAACAUCCAGGUAGAUCUCUUCAAUUUCAAGGAAUGGCCCAUAGAAUUGAUAUGUCUGAUUACAACUUCCUCCAGUUAGUCUGACUAGCUAUAAAAGAUUGCAAGCAUGAAGAAGUAGCAUCACACACUAGAAACAAAAUAUAUUUUUUUCUGUAGAUCAGACUACAGUCAGGCUGAAUUACUGUGCACAUCUGAACUACAGAUGCAGACAGCUGUAAAACUCUGUUUUCAUGCAAAUUAGAUGUUCCUGAAGACUACCAAUCUUGCAAGUUUCCAUCACAACCUUUCUCAAAUAGGGGAAGUUUGGAUACUCUGCAAGUAAAUUAGUACCAGUAUUCUUCUGUGCUAGGUAUCUGCCAAAUUCACUGCAUAGUUACUCCUAGAUGUCGUCUUGUAGAAAACACUGUGUCAUGCUGCCUAAAAAUAACCACUUCAUUUCUUUUCUUUGAAAUACCCUUAAAUUCAUUUAUCUUUAUAAUAUGCAUGAAAAAGAAGACAAAGACUAGGAAUUGCAAUCUAAAAAAA